CCUAGAAUGAACAAAUCAUCAGGGCAUCAUUUCUGGAAUUUGGGCAGAAAAUGACUGAAUAUGACUAAAGAGAAGCGGGUCUGAGGCCAGAGAUGGAGGAGUCAAUGGUCACCAAAUGCAGCGCUGCAGCCUGAAACUGUGAAGACUGAAUUCCCAAACAGCUGUGUGACUGCACAGAUGUUACGGCCAUAAAAGAAACUUCACAACUGAGAGCCCAUACCUCCAACAACCUUCAACAGGAAUCAAUGGACAUCUACGCAAGGUUUUUCUUUUGUUGAGGACCGUCAGAGACUCCAGCCACACGAGCCAUGGAUUGCUCUCACCGUUACCAUCAGACAGACAUUAUCACAGAACCAGCACCAGCAGACUGCAAGACAAGUUCCAAUCAGACUGAACUGAACU